ensembl:lncRNA
GGGAGUGAGAGGGAGGAGGGAGGGAGGGAGGGAGGGAGAAAGCGAGAAUCUGCCCCGGUUGUAAUGCGUUUGCCGUAGCGCGGUCACACCGUCGAGUCGAGAUGCAGCAGAGAGGAAAGACGACGACGAUGUACAACGAUGGAUGAGUGUGUGUGUGUGUGUGUGUGGCACCUCUGCUAUAUAAUGUAUAUAAUUGUUAUUAUAAACAAAAGAAUACCUAUAAUAAAUGGCCAAAAGCCAAAAUUAAGCUUCCAAAAUACAAUUAAACAAAGUAGAAUAUGAUCAUGUUGAAUGGCAAUCUACAAAGAUAUUGAUGUCCACAUAGUGAGCAAAGGGACCGUGAGGACAGCAGAGUGUGCGUGUGUGCGUGUGUGCGUGUGUGUGUGUGUGUGUGUGUGUGUGUGUUUCAAAGGGGCCUCUUCGACCCGAGUAAAGAGGAAAUGGAUGCCUCCUUAUCAACGGCAGCUGACCACCACAGCUCCUUUAGUAACGAGCGCAGCGCUCACUCGCUGCCCGACGACGCUGAUGCACGGAGCGACGCGUCCUGAUCCCGCAGACGCCUUCGUUCCGUUCAGCGCGGCCAUUUGGAGCGAGCGAGGCGGCGCGGCCCAACGCGUAAAGCGAGCGAGAGAGACAAACUGAGAGGAAGUGUCGGUUUCCUGACUCUCUCUCUCUCUCGCAAUAGAAGAGAGCAAUGAUUGACGCGAGUGGCGGUCUGCUGGCUGAUGGCGGGGGUCGGAAACCGCAGAGCCGAGGAGAGGCCGUGCUCCGCGAGAAGCCGCUGGCCUCGCCGGCUUCCGUCCUCGAGUGCAGACAGCAGGCGUCUUCAUUUCCCAACUCGAUUUACGGGCAUCGGGAGACGGCGAGGCGCGCCCGGCUCUCUCAAAUGCAAUCAGCCUGCUUGUGUGCGUUUUUAAGGGGAACUCGGAGGGUGCCGUCUUCAUCAGCUUUCUUUUCGGCUCCUCUAUAGAAAUCCUUCCUAAAUGUAAACGGCUGCUUAAGGAUUUUCUUUUGCUAAUUGUGAUCUCCCUUUCAGGCUGCGACAGAAAAGCCUAGUGAAGCCCGUAAACUCACCUCAUAAAGAUUUAUUUCCUGAGAUGGAGCGAUGAUUAGAAGAGAGAGAGGGAGCGAGAGAGAGAGGAGGGAAAGAUGACUCCACCACCCUGGGGGGAGGACGAGGUGAGAUGGAACCACUUCUCCGCUCACCAAUGGUUCCAUCUCUCCCGCCAUCGGAGCGCCAUCUGCUGGCCCGGUGGGGCGGGACAGCUGGUGUUGUGAAUCAGGCCGCCACAAUCAAAGGAACGGCUACUUCCCAACACCAGGGUCUCACCCUCACCCCUCUCACCCCAUCCCAACACCAGGAUCUGACCCCUCUCACCCCAUCGCCUCGGCUGGCAACGAGCCGCUCAGCGUAUGUUUCAAAGCGAGUGCUUUGUACUCUCCGGAUGAAAUGGCGAUCGGUAAUACUGGGACUUUGUACAAAUCUGUGUGGAGUUUAUGUUCCUUUUACAUCAUAUCUCCUGAAAUUAGGAAUUAGAAGAAAGUACAGCAAAUAUCCCAAAUAAAAAUGUUAAAUUAUUUCAAACCCCAUAGAACACACACAAAAAAUGAUGACAUGAAAUACAAUAAAAAAUGUUUCCCUAAUAAAUGAAUUAAAUGUGAAUUUAAAAAGAAUAUGACAAUGGUUUUGUCUUUUAAUAAAAGCUACUUGUUAAAGACUUCAUGGGAGUAUUUAUAAUAUAUAAUGGCAAUGCGCCACCAGAAAAUGACCUGAAUGUAUAUACUUUUUUUCCCCUCAUGAACAGCAGUGUGUUCACACCAAACUAAGCCCUUAAGCUGCUGAAGCUGUAGCUGAUCACCUCCGGCCACUAAGGGAUGAAAAUGUAUAUUGCUCAUUAUCUUAAUAAACCACCACCCUUCUGCUGAUUGCCUUACUUGUGUGUCUGUGUUCUUACACCAAAUACUGUAUUUGUAUGAAUCAUAUAAAAGGCUGCCACUGU